rnacentral:rRNA from 1 species
UACGUAGGGGGCAAGCGUUGUCCGGAUUUACUGGGCGUAAAGAGCGUGUAGGCGGCCAAACAGGUCCGUUGUGAAAACUGGAGGCUCAACCUCCAGACGUCGACGGAAACCGUGUGGCUAGAGUCCGGAAGAGGGGAGUGGAAUUCCUGGUGUAGCGGUGAAAUGCGCAGAUAUCAGGAAGAACACCAAUGGCGAAGGCAGCUCUCUGGGACGGUACUGACGCUGAGACGCGAAAGCGUGGGGAGCGAACAGG